rnacentral:rRNA from 1 species
UUCCUACGGGAGGCAGCAGUGGGGAAUAUUGGACAAUGGGGGAAACCCUGAUCCAGCGACGCCGCGUGAGUGAAGAAGUAUUUCGGUACGUAAAGCUCUAUCAGCAGGAAAGAAAAUGACGGUACCUGACUAAGAAGCCCCGGCUAACUACGUGCCAGCAGCCGCGGUAAUACGUAGGGAGCGAGCGUUGUCCGGAUUUACUGGGUGUAGAGGGUGCGUAGGCGGGUAAGCAAGUCAGAAGUGAAAUCCAUGGGCUUAACCCAUGAACUGCUUUUGAAACUGUUUAUCUUGAGUGAAGUAGAGGG